rnacentral:rRNA from 1 species
GACGAACGCUGGCGGCGUGCUUAACACAUGCAAGUCGAACGGAAAGGCCCGGCUUUUGUGGGGUGCUCGAGUGGCGAACGGGUGAGUAACACGUGAGUAACCUGCCCUUGACUUUGGGAUAACUUCAGGAAACUGGGGCUAAUACCGGAUAGGAGCUCCUGCUGCAUGGUGGGGGGUGGAGAGUUUCGGCGGUUGGGGAUGGACGCGCGGCUUCUGAGCUUGUUGGUGGGGUAGGGGCUUACCAAGGCUUUGGCGGGUCGCCGGCCGGAGAGGGUGACCGGCCACAUUGGGACUGAGAUACGGCCCAGACUCCUACGGGAGGCAGCAGGGGGGAAUAUUGCACUAUGGGCGGAAGCCUGAUGCAGCAACGCCGCGUGCGGGAUGAGGGCCUUCGGGUUGUAAACCGCUUUCGCCUGUGACGAAGCGUGAGUGACGGUAAUGGGUAAAGAAGCACCGGCUAACUACGUG